rnacentral:lncRNA from 1 species
AGCACUGCUUGUCAUAAAACCAUACUAAAUUAUUUUUUAGAUAAGCAUUGUCAUUUGCUAUUGCAGGUUUUAAUGAUUUAAAUAAUUAAUUGAGGUCCUGCUCUGGGAACGAAGGGGAUCAGCUGAACGUUAUCGUGCUGAAGGAGAAUGAUUUCUUUGCUGGGUCUACAGUGCCAUCUACAGCACCAAGACUGCAGCUGAAAAUAAACAGGCUGAAGUGCUGAUAGCCUGUGCUGUCUUUCUCGAAGGAUUUAUACAAGGUGAUGCAAAGCCCUACAAAUUCCUUGUCUCCCUGCUGCUGCUGACUGGGAGUUGUGCUCAAAUGGCAGUUCUAGCACCUAGGUCAUCCCCAUCCAGAUGCAUUUGGAGAGCUGAGCACAGCAAUGUGUAG